rnacentral:rRNA from 1 species
UAGGGAAUAUUGGUAAUGUGCGAAAGCGCGAACCAGCAACGCCGCGUGCACGAUGAAGGCCUUCGGGUUGUAAAGUGCUUUUAGAGAGGAUGAGGAAGGACAGUACUUUCUGAAUAAGCCUCGGCUAACUACGUGCCAGCAGCCGCGGUAAAACGUAGGAGGCUAGCGUUAUCCGGAUUUACUGGGCGUAAAGCGCGUGCAGGUGGUUUCGUAAGUUGGAUGUGAAAGCUCCUGGCUCAACUGGGAGAGGUCGUUCAAAACUGCGAGGCUUGAGAGUGGUAGAGGGAGGUGGAAUUCCCGGUGUAGUGGUAAAAUACGUAGAGAUCGGGAGGAACACCAGCGGCGCAGGCGGCUCACUAGACAGUUUCUGACGCUAAGAUACGAAAGCGUGGGGAGCAAACA